AUGGCUGUCCUCUCUAAGGAAUAUGGUUUUGUGGUUCUCACCGGUGCCGCCAUCUUCAUAAUGGUAGAUGAUGGCUCAUCUAGCCAUCAACGUUUCCAAGGCCCGAAAGAAGUACAAAGUGGAGUAUCCUACCAUGUACAGCACGGACCCUGAGAACGGGCACCUUUUCAACUGCAUUCAGCGUGCCCACCAGAACACGUUGGAAGUGUAUCCUCCAUUCUUAUUUUUCCUAGCUGUUGGAGGUGUUUACCACCCACGUAUAGCUUCUGGCCUGGGCGUGGCCUGGAUUGUUGGACGAGUUCUUUAUGCUUAUGGUUAUUACACAGGAGAGCCCAGCAAGCGGAGUCGUGGGGCCCUGGGCUCCAUAGCCCUCAUUGGCCUCAUGGGCACAACCGUGUGCUCUGCCUUCCAGCACCUCGGUUGGGUUAAGACCGGCUUGGGCGGUGGGUCCACAUGCUGCCAUUGAAGAACUACAGGGUCUUGAAAAACUCAUUCGUUUUGAGUGACUUCACUUUUAUUGUCAGUUACUUUUUUUUUUUCUAAAUAUAAUAAAAACUUACCUGGCCUUAGCCUCAUACCUUAA